rnacentral:rRNA from 1 species
UACAGAGGUCCCAAGCGUUGUUCGGAUUUACUGGGCGUAAAGGGUGCGUAGGUGGUCGGGUAAGUCUCAUGUGAAAUCCCGUAGCUUAACUGCGGAACGGCAUGGGAUACUAUUCGGCUCGAGGAUUGGAGGGGGGACUGGAAUUCCCGGUGUAGCAGUGAAAUGCGUAGAUAUCGGGAGGAACACCAGUGGCGAAGGCGAGUCCCUGGACAAUUCCUGACGCUGAGGCACGAAAGCCAGGGGAGCAAACAGG